UCCUACGGGACGCAGCAGUGAGGAAUAUUGGUCAAUGGUCGGGAGACUGAACCAGCCAAGCCGCGUGAGGGAUGAAGGUACAGAGUAUCGUAAACCUCUUUUGUCAGGGAACAAAGGCGGGGACGCGUCCCCGGAUGAGUGUACCUGAAGAAAAAGCAUCGGCUAACUCCGUGCCAGCAGCCGCGGUAAUACGGAGGAUGCGAGCGUUAUCCGGAUUUAUUGGGUUUAAAGGGUGCGCAGGCGGUCUGUUAAGUCAGCGGUCAAAGCCCGGGGCUCAACCCCAGCCCGCCGUUGCAACUGGCAGG
rnacentral:rRNA from 1 species